AGGUUCUUCUGUGAUAUGUUUUCAUGGUGUGGGAAUAAGACUUGGUGGUCUAAUACAGCUAAUACGAAGGUUAGCAUCACAGCUUGUCUGUAAAGAUUGAAGCUGGGAGUGGGCAUUGGAGCUGACUUUUAUGAUAACUGUGGCUGCAUAAAAGGGCUAUGUGAUUUUACUGUAACAGUAAAGAAUGUAAUUCAGACUAUUUUUGUGUAUGUUUGAGAAAAUGUUUAUAAUUUUUACAAAAAGAAAAAAAAAUUAUGUACAGGUUCUCCAUUUUCAACAAGAUUGGAAGUUGUAGGUUAAUAGGUCUUUGAAAUUUCAAAAAUUACUUUCCAUUUUCUGUUCAUACUCAUGUCUAGGCAAAACACUUCCAGUAGUUUAAGAAUGGAGAAUCUAAAAAAAAAGAGAAGAAAAAAAAAAAGAAAAAAAUGUUUAAUUAUUGAAAUGUUUUUUUAUUUUUGCAAAUUGUAAUAUAUUUUUUCACCUUUGUGUCAUUUUUAGCUGAGUUUAUAACGAAGGGUAUAUUAUUUUAAGAAUAUUUUACAAGAAGCAUAGUUGAAGAAUAUCUUGAUGAAAGUAGAUUGAUUGA